GAAAGCCGUGUGCGGGAAAUCCGCAUGCACGGUUUGACGGGGAGUCCGAGGGAGUAAUCCCUCGUCUUACCCUAC
rfam:Paenibacillus stellifer strain DSM 14472, complete genome.